CACUAAGCGGAGGAAAAGAAACUAACGAGGAUUCCCCUAGUAACGGCGAGUGAACGGGGAAGAGCCCAUCGCCGAAGCCCCCGUCCGAACAGGGCGGCGGGCAAUGUGGCGUUCGGGAGGAGCCAUCCGUGCGGCCGGUGGGAGCUCAAGUCCCCCUGACAGGGGCCAUCGCCCGUGGAGGGUGCUAGGCCCGUACAGCUCCCGGUAUUCGACCGCACGACGGCUCUUUCCCCCGAGUCGGGUUGCUUGGGAGUGCAGCCCUAAGACGGUGGUAAACUCCACCCAAGGCUAAAUACUGCCACGAGACCGAUAGCGAACAAGUACCAUGAGGGAAAGUUGCAAAGAACUUUGAAGAGAGAGUUCAAGAGUACGUGAAACCGCUCGGAGGCAAACGGGUGGGCACUCGAAGGUCGAACGGUGGGAUUCAACCGGUCGUCGCAAUGUCUUCGACGGUCGCGGGCUGAAUAAACAUAACCGGAUCCUUGACUGGACCGAGCCCGCGACUCGUUUUCAUAGUCGGAGGACGGCCGGCGCACUUCCCGCGUAGUAGGACGCCGCGACCGGUCGGGACAUCAAUUAACGGUGGCCAUAAGGCAUUAAAAAAAAUAGGGCGGGCAGGUAUCCGGCAGGUCGGUUAUUUACUCGCCGAGCAAUCGGUGGGUUUUUAGCUCCUGCCGGAGUUAUAGCCCGCCCGACGCCCGGCUCCGCCGCCCGACCGAGGAAAAUUAUAGUGCAAGACCCUCGCCGGUGCUAUAUUAUUGCCCGUCAGCGACAGGCGGUUUUUCCCGCAUUCGCCGGACGCACCUUGUGGCGGCCGGUCGUCUGUUCGGGCCGCUGUUGGUCGCGGGGGAUUUCGCAACCGCGCGCGACCGGAGGUCUGCGGCGAGUAGGUCGGNNNNNNNNNNNNNNNNNNNNNNNNNNNNNNNNNNNNNNNNNNNNNNNNNNNCGAGUCAAUGGGGAUCUCUCGAGACCCACGGGCGCAAUGAAAGUGAAAAGGUUCGGGUUUGUUGGGAGGGAAACUUGUUUCCCACUUUGACGCCCGAACCGGAGGCGGGAUCCGACGAACCGGCAUUGCUUUAACUUUUCCCUGCGUUCGUAAAAAAAGCGUACGGGGACUGUUUUAGUUUCAAAAUUUUGCCGGCGGCGCACCGCCGGCCCGUCGCAAACGCAACGCCGUUGCGGCGGAGCAAGAGCGUACACGUUGGGACCCGAAAGAUGGUGAUCUAUGCCCGGGCAGGACGAAGCCAGAGGAAACUCUGGUGGAGGUCCGUAGCGAUUCUGACGUGCAAAUCGAUCGUCGGACCUGGGUAUAGGGGCGAAAGACUAAUCGAACCGUCUAGUAGCUGGUUCCCUCCGAAGUUUCCCUCAGGAUAGCUGGCGCUCGGAAUGGAACGCAGUCUCAUCCGGUAAAGCGAAUGAUUAGAGGCCUUGGGGCCGAAACGACCUCAACCUAUUCUCAAACUUUAAAUGGGUGAGAAGUCCGGCUUGCUCGACUACUGAAGCCCGGACGGUGCAAAUUGAAAAAUUUUUUUUUUUUUGCAUGACACGGAUGCGAGUGCCAAGUGGGCCACUUUUGGUAAGCAGAACUGGCGCUGUGGGAUGAACCAAACGCCGGGUUAAGGCGCCGAAUGCGGACGCUCAUCAGACCCCAUGAAAGGUGUUGGUUGCUAUAGACAGCAGGACGGKGGCCAUGGAAGUCGGAAUCCGCUAAGGAGKGKGUAACAACUCACCUGCCGAAGCAACUAGCCCUGAAAAUGGAUGGCGCUCUAGCGUCGAGCCUAUACCCGGCCGUCGGGGCAGCAGCGGGUGUUUUACGAUACCCGUGCCGAUGCUCCGACGAGUAGGAGGGUCGCGGCGGUGCGCGUUGAAGGUUAGGGCGCGAGCCCGACUGGAGCCGCCGUCGGUGCAGAUCUUGGUGGUAGUAGCAAAUACACGAGUGAGAACCUUGUGGACUGAAGUGGAAAAGGGUUUCGUGUGAACAGCAGUUGAACACGAGUCAGUCGGUCCUAAGGAAUAGGGGAAACCCGUUCCGAACCGGGGGUUUAUUUCAUAUAUAUGUAGAAAAACCCCGAAUCGACCGAAAGGGAAUCGGGUUAAUAUUCCCGAACCCGGAUGCGGAGAUCGACCCCUCGUGGGUCCAAUGCGGCAACGCAAACGAACUCGGAGACGUCGGCGGGAGUCCCGGGAAGAGUUGUCUUUUCUUUGUAAGGAACGGACUCCCUGGAAUCGGCUCGCCCGGAGAGAGGGACGUUGUUUCCGUAAAGCACCGCGGCUCUUGCGGUGUCCGGAGCACUCCCGCCGGCCCUUGAAAAUCCGAGGGAGAGACAAAUCUUGAUUUUCGCGCCGGACCGUACCCAUAUCCGCAGCAGGUCUCCAAGGUGAACAGCCUCUASUCGAUAGAACA
rnacentral:rRNA from 1 species